CGUGUUGGAUCCUUAAUGGCGAUCACCUGGUUAAGGGCUCGCGGUAACAUGUGAUGUGAGACGGUGAGAGUCGGGACGAGGAUUAGGGUUAGGGUUUCUGAGCUCCCGGGGGCGCCGACCAUGGCGAAGCUGGCUGGCGUCGUCGAUGAAGAGCGUUCCGCGACGAAACCCUAGAACAUGGUGGAGAAGACCCUCCGAUUCAAGAUCUAUUAGGCCAUACUUUUACAACCUUCGCUGCCGUCAACCUCGUCGACAACCCCAUGGAGCUCGCCCAUCUCGAUCCCACCUCCUUCAUGUGCCUCAUGACAUGCUCCGAAUCCAUCUUUGUAUGAAUUUUGCAUCUUAGGGCUUUCUCUGGCUCACGAGGAUUAGAUCCUGUGGCGACUACAUUCCUCGUGUUGAGAAAAGGGAUUGGGAUUAUUGUCAGGACUAUGUCUGGGGACAUCAAAGAGAUGUAGAUCAGGAUUGAGGUACAAAUAAAGGAGGGAAGAGGGGGGUGGGGGGAAAGAACAAGAAAGGGAUAACUUGACAUUCUUUUGAAGAGUGUCAUGUCUGACAGAAGUGUGCAGUGGACUGGUUCUUGGCGUAGUUUCGAAUUAACAUACUUGAUCAAGAGGAUAAAUUGUAUCAUUAGUCAUUCAGGGACAGGGGCCUUAAGAUCAGACAGAUAUGUAUUGAUGAAGUGUAUAUUUCAGGUGCAUACAAUUCUCUGUUGUUUGACUGUAAAUAAAAGAGUUCGGUUUGAAAUUCCGUAUAGCAAAGAAUGCGGAUAGAAACUUUGCUGUAUUGAUUUUAUUUAUUUGUAUCUAAUAGCUUGAAUUUGGUCAUGUGGUACAAUUAAAUCUUACUGUGCCUAUCCCUGCGAUUGGUGGUCAGUAAAUUGAGUUGACAUCCCAAACACUCUGAUGUAAUAAUGAUGCAUUGAUGCUUUUUUAAGAGCAUAGCUUAUAGAGUUGAUAUUUAGGA